CCAGCCUCGUACCCCUCGCUCACCCGCACCCACCCCCCCAGCCUCAUUCUAAUUCCAAUUCUCUUUUUAUUCCCAAUUUUUUUGUUCAUUAGACACACACUUUCACCAUGCACACUCUCUACUCUACAUACACCAAGCCUGAUGAUAGCAAGGAAGGGAGGGAGAGCCGGAGCGAGGGAGAGAAUGAGCGAGUGAGAGGACGCCAUUUAAGCAGUUUGUUACGAGCACUGCCAGUCCCCAAAAUGGCUGAAAACAAACAGGAGCCAUGCCAACAGAAAAAAAGCUUGGCCAUGGAGACACGAAGGGAAAGAGAUAAAGAGUGGGAGCGGGCAGAAAGAGAGAGAGACGCCAGACAAUACUUGGGUGGCUCAAAUGUUCCCCUGCUCACUGCUGAUCAAAGGCCGUCUUUAACAUGACAUAUGGAUCAGCAGACACUAAUGAGAGGGCAGUGGCCAGCUGAAUCUCCACGGUAACAAAAGAGGCUGGGACAUCUGGAGUCAGCCACACACAGACUCCUGUCCCUCUGUCACAAAACACAUAGGAGCAACCAAUGGUAAGUUUAUUGACGACAGAAGGAAUCAACACAGUGCAGGAUGAUCCGGGAACACACACAGACACACAGAGGAGCAGUCGAGACGUGGAGAGCAUUAGAUUCGACUUGGUAAAAGUAGACGGCCUCAGAGAUAAUCCAAGGAGCUUACGGUUGGUUUCCCAAGCUUACUUAUGGAGCCUUGUGAUUACUAAACUGGAACAACAGGGCUUCCCUGAGAACUCAUGAUCAAAGCACAGCCCUUUUUCUGCUUGAUUGUGGCUUCCGCUUGGAAGAGGAAGAUCCAGACAGACUGAAGUAACAGGAGCGUUCAGCUGUGUCUGUUUUGCGCUCAAAGCUUCCAUCUAGUGGUCAUAUCUUUUCUCUUAUUUGUAGCUUGACGAGUUUCUUUGCAUUUACCUUAUUGUAACACGACAUAGUGUAAUAUUACAACAUAGACGUUUGAUGGCUACAUUAAGGAAAACUGUAUGGGAGAUAAUCCAAUAUCAUAUGUGGUAUUAAAAGUGUCAAGAAAUUUGGGGUAACAUCUGAUAAGUCUAUGUUAUUGAUAAUUUCUUGUUUGGCAUCUAAACAACGUAUUUCUAAAAUGCAUUGCAUUGUCCAAAAACAGCAAAUCCUCCUCUGAAUAAAAAGUUAUUUGUUUAUGUCUUACCUAUUCAGGUACCAGCCU